rnacentral:rRNA from 1 species
UGGGGAAUCAUGGUCAAUGGGCGAAAGCCUGAACCUGCGACGCCGCGUGAGUGAUGAAGGUCGUAAGAUCGUAAAACUCUUUUCAGGGGGCUUAAAGCCUGUCUGUCAACAACAGGCAGGUCUGACUCUCCCUGGAAGAAGCCCCAGCCAACUACGUGCCAGCAGCUGCGGUAAUACGUAGUGGGCGAGCGUAAUUCGGAAUUACUGGGUGUAAGGGGUAUGUAGGCGGCGCUUCAAGUCGCGUGUCAAAGGCCGGGGCUCAAC